rnacentral:tRNA from 1 species
AAAAACUUAGGAUAAAAUAAACCAAAAGCCUUCAAAGCUUGAAAUAAGGGUGCAACCCCCUAGUUUUU